rnacentral:lncRNA from 1 species
UAAAACUAAGCUGUUCCCGAACACCUUGGCACGUGUCGUCAGGACUUCCUGAAGCUGCGUCACAGGCGUGCAUCCUUGACCUUGGCAAAAUAAACUUGCUAAAUUAACUGAGACCUGUCUCAGAUUUUGGGGGUUCACAUUUUGGUAACCACAGGGGGAUUCUGAGUGAAGAUGCCCCUGGCCUGUGACAAAUCUCCUGUGGGUGCUUGGUACCCGCAUCAGCUAACUUUAUGGCUCAAACCAAUGGGACAACUUGCUGAGGCCUGUGAGCACCUCCUCAGUGAAUCCCUGACCUUUCAAAAUUUGGUCAAGAUCUAAAGUUUAUUUUGCUGUACAACUUCUUUUUUUUUUUUGAGUUUUACUUGCUUCCAACAAGGAAGGCAUGUCUUCCUACUUCCAUGACGAUGGAAAGCAGGUAACCCCUUUGUGGAGUUUGAGCUCGCUGCCAGCAGGGAAGAGGAGUUUUAUUUUUCCCUGCUGCUAGGAUGGGAGAGUGAAGUCUACAGCCUGAGACCCAUCACAAGGGCUUUGACUCCUGGGUCUAAAAAGGACACCAAUUCCUGCUAAAUCUUAAACACUGACAGCAAUUAAAGCCUCAUCUUCAGGCCCUGUAGAAGAUGCCAAUCAAAAUAAACUGCAUUCCUGAGACACAGGGCCAGAAAGGAAAGCCAUUCAACUUCUCAAGGCCCAGGGACUAUCACAGAAGAGAGUCUUAAAACUUUUCUUUUGAGCUAUUGACAGCUUUAAAAAAUUUAGUAUACUCCUAUGAACAAAAUUUGGAGCAUUUUUGUUUCUAUCUGAUUUCUCCAGAAUUUGGAACUAUUUGUGAGUAUUCUUAACUUAUGGUAAUAUAGUUAUGUGCAUAAGUGCAACAAGAAACUGUUUUCAGGCCAGGAGUGGUGACUAAUGCCUUUAAUCCCAGCACUUUGGGAGGCCAAGGCAGGUGGGUCACCUGAGGUCAGGAGUUUGAGAACAGCCUGGCCAACAUGGUGAAACCCCGUCUCUACUAAAAUACCAAAAUUAGCUGGGUAUGGUGGUGGGCAUCUGUAAUCCCAGCUACUUGGGAGGCUGAGGCAGGAUAAUUGUUUGAACACAGGAGGUGGAGGUUGCAGUGAGCCAAGAUCGUGCCAUUGCACUCCAGCCUGGGUGACAGGAGUUAAACUGCAUCUCAAAAAAG